rnacentral:tRNA from 1 species
GGGCCCGUAGCUCAGCUAGGCAGAGCACCCGGCUCAUAACCGGGGGGUCGCGGGUUCAAAUCCCGCCGGGCCCA